AGAGUUUGAUUCUGGCUCAGAACGAACGCUGGCGGCGUGGAUAAGACAUGCAAGUCGAACGAGAGAAUUGCUAGCUUGCUAAUAAUUCUCUAGUGGCGCACGGGUGAGUAACACGUGAGUAACCUGCCCCCGAGAGCGGGAUAGCCCUGGGAAACUGGGAUUAAUACCGCAUAGUAUCGAAAGAUUAAAGCAGCAAUGCGCUUGGGGAUGGGCUCGCGGCCUAUUAGUUAGUUGGUGAGGUAACGGCUCACCAAGGCGAUGACGGGUAGCCGGUCUGAGAGGAUGUCCGGCCACACUGGAACUGAGACACGGUCCAGACACCUACGGGUGGCAGCAGUCGAGAAUCAUUCACAAUGGGGGAAACCCUGAUGGUGCGACGCCGCGUGGGGGAAUGAAGGUCUUCGGAUUGUAAACCCCUGUCAUGUGGGAGCAAAUUAAAAAGAUAGUACCACAAGAGGAAGAGACGGCUAACUCUGUGCCAGCAGCCGCGGUAAUACAGAGGUCUCAAGCGUUGUUCGGAAUCACUGGGCGUAAAGCGUGCGUAGGCUGUUUCGUAAGUCGUGUGUGAAAGGCGCGGGCUCAACCCGCGGACGGCACAUGAUACUGCGAGACUAGAGUAAUGGAGGGGGAACCGGAAUUCUCGGUGUAGCAGUGAAAUGCGUAGAUAUCGAGAGGAACACUCGUGGCGAAGGCGGGUUCCUGGACAUUAACUGACGCUGAGGCACGAAGGCCAGGGGAGCGAAAGGGAUUAGAUACCCCUGUAGUCCUGGCAGUAAACGGUGCACGCUUGGUGUGCGGGGAAUCGACCCCCUGCGUGCCGGAGCUAACGCGUUAAGCGUGCCGCCUGGGGAGUACGGUCGCAAGAUUAAAACUCAAAGAAAUUGACGGGGACCCGCACAAGCGGUGGAGUAUGUGGCUUAAUUCGAUGCAACGCGAAGAACCUUACCUGGGCUUGACAUGUAAUGAACA
rnacentral:rRNA from 1 species